AUUGAACGCUGGCGGCAUGCCUUACACAUGCAAGUCGAACGGCAGCGGGGGAGAAGCUUGCUUUUCCUGCCGGCGAGUGGCGAACGGGUGAGUAAUACAUCGGAACGUGCCCUGUAGUGGGGGAUAACUAGUCGAAAGAUUAGCUAAUACCGCAUACGACCUGAGGGUGAAAGUGGGGGACCGCAAGGCCUCAUGCUAUAGGGGCGGCCGAUGUCUGAUUAGCUAGUUGGUAGGGUAAAGGCCUACCAAGGCGACGAUCCGUAGCUGGUCUGAGAGGAUGAUCAGCCACACCGGAACUGAGACACGGUCCGGACUCCUACGGGAGGCAGCAGUGGGGAAUAUUGCGCAAUGGGCGAAAGCCUGACGCAGCCAUGCCGCGUGUGUGAAGAAGGCCUUCGGGUUGUAAAGCACUUUCAGUGGGGAGGAAAGGGGGAUGGCUAAUACCCAUCACCGGUGACGCUACCCACAGAAGAAGCACCGGCUAAUUCCGUGCCAGCCGCCGCUGUAA
rnacentral:rRNA from 1 species